UACGUAGGGGGCAAGCGUUGUCCGGAAUCAUUGGGCGUAAAGAGCGUGUAGGCGGCCCGGUAAGUCUGUUGUGAAAGUCCAGGGCUCAACCCUGGAAAGCCGAUGGAUACUGCCCGGACUAGAGUUCGGAAGAGGCGAGUGGAAUUCCCGGUGUAGCGGUGAAAUGCGCAGAUAUCAGGAAGAACACCCGUGGCGAAGGCGGCUCUCUGGAACGCAACUGACGCUGAGACGCGAAAGCGUGGGAGCAAACAGG
rnacentral:rRNA from 1 species